UGCGUUCUGCCUGACGCUCAGAUAGUCGACUCAAUCCAUCACCAAGGACCCUCCACGCGCAAAACAUAUACUUUCUGUAAAAUGUGAGGUUUCACGACUUAGUGUGAUCAUUUGAAAAUGUUCCUACUUAUUUGAUUGUAAUUUCACGCGUUUGUCAUUGUUUAGUUUCUUUUGCCGGAGAUGGGGUGCGCAAUAUCAGGCUUGGCACCAAAACAAGUCGGGGACGUGAUGGACGAUGUUCCCAUUGUGCAUCUAACUGACGAGCACAGAGAGAUAAUCAAAGAGACAUGGAAAGUCAUCCAAGAGAAUAUCGCGAAAGUUGGCAUUAUUAUGUUUGUUGGGUUGUUUGAGACCCAUCCAGAAUGCAAAGACGUUUUCUUCCUGUUCCGAGACGUGGAAGACUUGGAGAGGCUGUGGAACAACAAGGAGCUACAAACUCACGGCCUACGGAUAAUGCACUUCAUUGAGAAAAGCGUGGCCAGACUUAAUCAGAUGGAACGACUGGACCAACUGAUCCUAGAUCUGGGCAAAAGCCACUAUCGUUACAACUCCCCUCCGAAGUACUACAUGUACGUGGGGGCAGAGUUUAUUCGAGCCGUCCAGCCAAUCCUGAAGGACAACUGGACCCCAGAAGUGGAGGAGGCUUGGAAGACGUUGUUCCUGUACAUCACCAGUAUCAUGAAGCAAGGCUAUGUGGAAGAGGAGAAGAACCAGAGGAACACCAUGGCCAACACCAGUAGAGAGAGACCAGAGAAGAGGCUCAAUGUCAUCUAGGAGCAGCCUACUCUCCAGUCAACUGAACCGAUCUCCUCAUUGACACAACUCUGCUUACAUCGCCAGGUAAUUUCCACAAGGUCACAGACUCCAGGAUGGGAAAAUGCUUACAAGAAAGAAACAUAUGAAGACAGAGCUGUUGAUUUCUAUUGUUACAAGACAAUCCCGUUUUUCUAAAUUAGCUAUCUAGGUUACUCACCAUUCUAAAGGCGACAGAUUUCAGUCACCACUAGAAUCGUUAUUUAAGUUAUAUAUUUGUUUAAUCUAAUUAAUCACAUUAAUCUUACAAUAAAAAUCCAUAUUGUUUAUUUUUUUUACAUGUUGCAUUAAAGUUGACUAAAGUAGAAACUCAUUUAUUGUUUGUAUGUAUUUUCAUUUGGGCCUAAGUAAUGAUAUAGUAAUAGCUGAAUCCUGUGUAACACCUAGUAACUCCAUUGCAUUUAUGUAGAUAUUACAUGAUACUCUGUGAUGCACUAGUGUGUUUAUUUUUGUAUUUUUUCACACUUGGAUCGCAUUCCAGAAGCUUUAAAAAUUAGGGCAAACUUGUCAGGAUGGGUAAUGUACUGUAUAAGUACACUUUAAUUACAGGUAAUUACUCCUCAAGAUAUGAUUCAUUUUAACUAGCUAACUCCUGUGUAACAGCUAAACAUUACAUGUACUAUGCUUUGAAAUAGUGUCCUAUUUCUCAUCUGGAAUGACGCUCAUAUUAGAUCUGUUUUCGUAAGCUUAAUCAAGUUAACCCAGAUGGUACACUUUAUUUUGGGGGCAAGAGCUAGCAAUAACGUUGACUGAUGAUAUAUUUUGAACAGUGCACAUUCAUGGUUCAUUAAUUAGAGCCUUUUAAACAUAGGCUAUGAUCUCUCAGACACACAGCGCAUGCACAAGGGAUCCCAACCUUUGUCACAGUUGUUAAUGAAUCGGAUGCAGCUGAGAAGUAAAACGCCUUUUCCCAAUUAGUUUUUUCAGCGUUCCCACAAGUCGGAGGUCAUAGAUUUUUUAGUUCCGAGUUGUCUUGAACGCACCAUGACAUUGGCCAAUAUACUGUAUUGGGCAAGACUCACAUGUGAAGUACCUCAGCUAAAUACAGUACAGUGCAGUGCGUGAUGAUGCCUUCUACAUUAAUUCCAUGCUUAUUACAAUGUUAAAUGAACAGGCUGCAUUAGACCAAGGUACUCAAAUAGGGAUUAUCCUGAAGUUCAUUAAUAAAAAAAUAGUAGCCUAUGUAAUAAUUGCUCUGUAGCAAAACGUAAAACACAAUGUAAGCAAAACGCAACGUAACGUAAAGCCAAACAUCCUGAAAGAUGUCAAACUAUACAAUAUAACAAAGCCACUAACAGCGUUUCCAUAAAAUCAUUUCAUGCAGAUGAAUUACGUGAUGCAUGAAAAAAGUAACGACCGGGUUGAUGGACACGGUGGUAUCUUUGUGAUUGUAAAUGUAAUUAUGCGAGAAAUGGCGGUAGAAACGCCUUUAUGCGAAAAUAUUGAUAUAAUAACCAUCAUAUCGAAGUAAAAGUUGGAGUCACGCGAUGAUAUGUUGUGUGGUCCUCUACGAGAAAGCAAUAUGCAGUUUAAUAGGCUAAAGAUAAAAUAAAUGAACUUCACAGGGUGGUGAACGUGCAAGGUGAUGAGCUUGAUGCUCCUUUCCAAUAAAUAUCGAGGGUCUUAUUCUGGUGACAUGAUAACCGAUGCUUGGCUGCCGUUUGACAAAUACAAAUGAUGUCGCUCUUCUCCAUAAUAAUCUCAUAAUGUAGGUAGCCGACCACACUUUAUCUGCAAGCUGUUGGCUAGAGCGCAUGUGCCAAAACCAGAAUUGGGCACAUUUGCUAUAUAACAAAACCGUUUUUGUGACAAAACCAUCAGAGUUGAAACUUGUUUUGUAACUAGUUUAACAGAAUGCACUUACUUUUUUUUACACAGUGAUUUUGUAUUUAUUUAUGCCAUCUGCUUUCAUUGUCAGAAAUCUUAUCCAAUUAUUUCUGUACCAUGGAAAACAUUUGACAGGAAAAACAACGCUGGCUCAUAAAAAAAUACAGUUUUAUUAUACAUUUCGGCCUUCAAUGGCCUUCUUCAGAAUAAUCAGCGCUCACUAACUGUUGUCCAAACCAGUUGUUAGACCUCUUUUCCUAAGCUGUUGAUGUUGUUAUCCCUAGUUUUGCUUAGCCUUGUUGCUUAUUUUCAAUACACAACAUAUUCAACAUGUAUUAUAUAGUAGUGGUUGUAUAUCAAUUACACCUACUGUAGUUGUAAAAAGCUUGUCCAGGUUUCCAAUUGUUGUUUACUGGUUUCACUUCUAUAUUUCAUCACUAGGUAGAGACAUUGACCACAGCACAUCACACCCUGAGUGCUAUCCUGUAUGGUCUAACACUGUCUCUCAUUAGCACCACCAGCUGAAGAGUUUUCUCUGAAAUUGUCUUCCCCAUGCCCUAUAUGAACUUGUCCAUUCACUUUUGAUUAUUCUGAAGAAGGCCAUUGAAGACCGAAACGUCAAUCUUUUAAACUUGUCUAAUAAAACUACAAUUGUUUUAAUGUUGAGCGAGUGUUGUGCCUUUUCCUGUCCAAUGAUGUCUACACAUUUUUAGAUUGCACCUCUACUCAUGUUGGUUGAGCACCUUCUACUUCUGUACCGUGGAAAACAUCAGAUGACAAAUGAUGUGGAAUGUGUUGAAGUGCCAGAUAGAGGCUGAAGCGUGAGGUUGGGGCGGGAUGCGUGUUUGCCACGUUUUAACGAACUUCAAUGUGAAACUAAACCCGAUGAUAAGUUGUGGGAGUUCAUUAAAAGUUUUUAGACCACAUGAAAUCACAUUCGACAACACUUGACAAUGAUUCUAGCUAAGAAUGAAACAUUGUUUUCCCUGAGAAAAUGCAAUUCUGUUAACUGUCCCAGUUGGAGGGAUGAUCAGGAAUAAGGCCUACAUUCAGUCAGAUCAAGCGUUAAUCGGUGUUAUGAUAAUGAUUGUUUGUACGGUGGUGGCUAGAUGGAGUGCAGCUCCAUCUAGUUGUCGCGUUGGGGAUAACAGUUGUUAGUUCUCCUAACCUGCUGCGUUAGUUCUCCUAACCUGCUGCAUUAGUUCUCCUAACUAGCUUUUAGCUAGUUGAAAAGCGAUGCAAAUGUGCAAAUUGUUUUGCUAGACGUCUGGCAAAACAAAACCCAUAUGCAACUGGUGGACAUCCGGCAUUUAGCUUUGUUCACAAUACCCAUAAUCACUCCAUUAAGAUGUGACAGAUGUCAUGCCUUUUAAUGGAGACUUCCAAUGAAAAUGCAACGCCCACUUGUGGUUGAAGGCUCCUUUGCGAGACGGACACAUUUUUCCUUUACCUGUGAUGUCUACAGAGUGUCAGGUAACAGAGUCUCCUUUACCUGUGAUGUCUACAGAGUGUCAGGUUACACAGUCUCCUUUACAAGUGAUGUCUACACUGUUAUGACGCUAGCCCUUUCAGUGAAUUGGUUAGCAGAGAUGUGAACCCGUCAUAAAUUCCUUGCAGAGACUCUUGUCUCCCUGACCAUGCAGUAUGAGAGAGGGUCACAGUAGAACAAAGUUACUCUCCCGCCAAAUUCUACUACAUCCCAGAAUUUGAGAAUUGAACAAUAUUCCUAUUUUGGAGAAUGUGUAAACGGUCGGUGGAGAAGCCAGCUACGACCGGUCCAUUUUGUUUCAUGUUUGUGACCUCAUGAAAGACAAUACAGCCACAUUACCCUAACUAUGUUUAUACAGGUUCCUCAGUUAUGAGGCUUGCAUCUAAUUCUUGUAUAAAAUGAAUGAGUAAAGAUUAAACUAUUUGCAAAAUGAUAUAAUAUGAUGUUAACCUUUAAAAUGAGAAAAUUGUCUUCCCUGUAAAGUUUAACUAAGUCAGUAGCCACGCCCAAGUGAAUAGACAUUGGUUGGAAAUGAUGAACCAACCCCUUUUCUACAUUUCUUUUAAAGCCCCCGUGACAAAAAGUCACCUCAGUUUGAAAUAACGGGAGGACAUGUCCUCCACGCUGAAAAGGGCUAAUUUCAACUAUACAGACCAGGAAACGAGAGAGCUUGCUCCACACGUGAAAUGGUUUGAACUCUGAACUAUUGAUCACCCAAGAAGUGAGUCCUAGAUUUCAGUUAAUACAGUCUCCUUUACACAUGACGUCUACACAGAGUCAGGUAACACAGGCUCCUUUACACGUGAUGUCUACACAGAGUCAGGUAACACAGUCUCCUUUAUACGUGAUAUCUACACAGAGUCAGGUAACACAGUCUCCUUUAUACGUGAUGUCUACACAGAGUCAGGUAACACAGUCUACUUUACACGUGAUGUCUACACAGUCAGGUAGCAGUCUCCUUGUCACGUCCUGACCAGCAGAGGGAGUAGUUGUUUAGUAUUUUUGGUCAGGACGUGGCAGAAGUACUGUGUUGUAUGUGUUUUUCUGGUAUUUCUGUUUCUAUGUUGGUCUGUGUGGCUCCCAAUCAGGGACAGCUGGUUAUCGUUGUUCCUGAUUGGGAGUCAUAUAUUAGGAGUGUGUUUGUCACCUGGGUUUUGUGGGUUGUUUUAUUUCGCACUGCUACGUAUAGUGAUAGCCUGUGAAACUGGCGUUCUAG